rnacentral:rRNA from 1 species
GAUGAACGCUGGCGGCGUGCUUAACACAUGCAAGUCGAACGGUGAAGGCGGAGCUUGCUCUGCUGGAUCAGUGGCGAACGGGUGAGUAACACGUGAGCAAUCUGCCCCUGACUCUGGGAUAAGCGCUGGAAACGGCGUCUAAUACUGGAUACGAGCUGCGAAGGCAUCUUCAGCAGCUGGAAAGAAUUUCGGUCAGGGAUGAGCUCGCGGCCUAUCAGCUUGUUGGUGAGGUAAUGGCUCACCAAGGCGUCGACGGGUAGCCGGCCUGAGAGGGUGACCGGCCACACUGGGACUGAGACACGGCCCAGACUCCUACGGGAGGCAGCAGUGGGGAAUAUUGCACAAUGGGCGAAAGCCUGAUGCAGCAACGCCGCGUGAGGGACGACGGCCUUCGGGUUGUAAACCUCUUGUAGCAGGGAAGAAGCGAAAGGGACGGUACCUGCAGAAAAAGCGCCGGCUAACUACGUG